rnacentral:SRP_RNA from 10 species
GACAGAGCGAGACUCCGUCUCAAAAAAAAAAAAAAAAAAAAGAUCACCUGAGCCUAAGAGUUCUGGCCUGUAGUGUGCUAUGCCAGUCAGGUGUCUACACUAAGCUCAGCAUCAAUAUAAUUAUCUCCAGGGAGUAGUGGGACCACCAGGUUGCCUAAGGAGGGGUUAACUAGCCCAGGUUGGAAACAGAGGUCAAAACUCCCGUGCCGAUCAUUAGUGGGAUCACGCCUGUGAGCAACCACUGCACUCUAGCCUGGCGCAACACAGCAAGA